GACGAACGCUGGCGGCGUGCCUAAUACAUGCAAGUAGAACGCUGAAGAGAGGAGCUUGCUCUUCUUGGAUGAGUUGCGAACGGGUGAGUAACGCGUAGGUAACCUGCCUUGUAGCGGGGGAUAACUAUUGGAAACGAUAGCUAAUACCGCAUAACAAUGGAUGACACAUGUCAUUUAUUUGAAAGGGGCAAUUGCUCCACUACAAGAUGGACCUGCGUUGUAUUAGCUAGUAGGUGAGGUAAUGGCUCACCUAGGCGACGAUACAUAGCCGACCUGAGAGGGUGAUCGGCCACACUGGGACUGAGACACGGCCCAGACUCCUACGGGAGGCAGCAGUAGGGAAUCUUCGGCAAUGGGGGCAACCCUGACCGAGCAACGCCGCGUGAGUGAAGAAGGUUUUCGGAUCGUAAAGCUCUGCUGUAAGUCAAGAACGGGUGUGAGAGUGGAAAGUUCACACUGUGACGGUAGCUUACCAGAAAGGGACGGCUAACUACGUG
rnacentral:rRNA from 1 species